rnacentral:rRNA from 1 species
GACGUAGGGGGCCAGCGUUGUUCGGAAUUACUGGGUGUAAAGGGUUCGUAGGCGGCCAACUAAGUCGGACGUGAAAUCCCUCGGCUUAACCGGGGAACUGCGUCCGAUACUGGAUGGCUCGAGUUUGGGAGAGGGAUGCGGAAUUCCAGGUGUAGCGGUGAAAUGCGUAGAUAUCUGGAGGAACACCGGUGGCGAAGGCGGCAUCCUGGACCAACACUGACGCUGAGGAGCGAAAGCCAGGGGAGCAAACGGG